rnacentral:rRNA from 1 species
UGUGCCUAUACUGCAAGUCGAGCGCAGGAACUGACGGAACUCUUCGGAGGGAAGGCAGUGGAAUGAGCGGCGGACGGGUGAGUAACACGUAAGGAACCUGCCUCAAGGAUUGGGAUAACUCCGAGAAAUCGGAGCUAAUACCGGAUAGUUCAUCGGACCGCAUGGUCCGCUGAUGAAAGGCGCUUCGGCGUCACCUUGAGAUGGCCUUGCGGUGCAUUAGCUAGUUGGUGGGGUAACGGCCCACCAAGGCGACGAUGCAUAGCCGACCUGAGAGGGUGAUCGGCCACACUGGGACUGAGACACGGCCCAGACUCCUACGGGAGGCAGCAGUAGGGAAUCUUCCACAAUGGACGAAAGUCUGAUGGAGCAACGCCGCGUGAGUGAUGAAGGUUUUCGAAUCAAAAAACUCUGUUGUAAGGUUAUUAACACUUUCAAAAU